CUUUUGACACUAGGCCAACGAGAAUAAUUCAGAAAUGAUUUGGGAAAACUUUAUUUUAUUCAGCGUCCUGGGAACAGUAACAGGUCGUUAUAUCAAUGGAGUACAGAGACUAACAAAUUCGGGGAACUGUGCGAACGCAUUUAAUUUUGUGUCUAUAUCGACAAUGUGUAAAAGUAACUCAGACUGUGACAUUUCAUCUGUGUGUUGUAGAAUUCGAUCAUCGGAGCAAUCAAUAUGUGUUCCUCUUAGACCUACAGACAUUGUCAUCGUGCAGUAUCCCCCGAGGUCACGACCCCCGGGGGAGUCGACAUUACCGCUACCCAUACCCCGCCCUAUUCCCAUCCCUCUUCUUGCUUCGUUCACCUCCGUGUCGCCUCCAAAUUAUAUCUAUGCUCCUACGAAUAUUGUUUAUAAGUGAUAUGUAACUUAAAGAACCAAAGAAGGACUUAAUCGUGAAUAGAUUACUUUUAAAACGAAUAUGCAUCGGAA